rnacentral:lncRNA from 1 species
CGUUUUGUUUCCUGCGUGAGAAUAGCUAAACAGUUUGGUUAGAAUUUCUGUAUUUAAAUGUUGAAGUUUUGGGUAGAGAAUGGGUUUUGUAGCCUUGCUUUAGGCCGAAUGUUGGUGAGUAUUGGUAGAGUUUAUUGACUAGUGAAUAAACCCAGAAGAAAGUUGCAGAAGGCUUUUGGAGUUGCAGCAAUUUGCCAGAAUUUGCAUGCUCUCUUUUCUCUAAAUUUUUGUAUUUAAACAAUGG